AAAAAUUAUACAUUGAAGUUGUAUUGAUGAUAGGAAGUGACAAAAGUAAGCAAUUAGGUGCAGAAUCUCCGCUUGCAGCAAUUCUCCGUGCAUUUCUAUGGAAGCACCCGCGAAACGGUGUGGCUGCCGCCUUGCCAGUUUGUUUCUUCCCCCAGCACUUCCAUUUUCCAGUAAUCUCUAACUCUCCAAUCUCCCGCAGCAUCUGAAUACGCCCUGCAAAAUGCUAGGAUUCGAAAUUCAGUUCGAAACCCAAAGUUUCUCGUCCGGUGGAUUAUUUCUGGAUGCCACUACAAUUCCAUCGUCGAUUGUGAGUAAGGUUUCCGGCGACGUUCGUAAUUACGGCUGCGAGUUGUCCUCAAGCAGAAACCGGGGCGAUUUUAUGUGCUUGAGCUUAUCGAUAAGAGGAAAAGGUGGAGUAAUCAGCAAUUCGUCUCAAUGUGCGCGGAGUGAGAGUAAAGCGGUCGACGGCGGCGGUGGCGUGAAGUUGGGAAAAGCGGUGAAGUUGAGCGGUAAGGGUGCGGUGAACACCACAAAGCAUUUGUGGUCUGGUGCUGUGGCUGCUAUGGUUUCAAGAACUUGCGUUGCUCCUCUGGAGAGGCUGAAGUUGGAAUAUAUAGUCCGUGGAGAGAAGAGGAAUCUACAUGAGCUUAUCUACACCAUAGCAACAACACAAGGAUUGAGGGGAUUUUGGAAAGGAAAUUUUAUCAAUAUACUGCGCACUGCUCCUUUCAAGGCAAUCAAUUUUUUUGCUUACGAUACCUACAGAAAGCAACUUCUCAAAUUGACUGGAAAUGAAGAAGCCACACAUUCUGAGAGAUUCAUUGCUGGUGCUGCGGCAGGGAUGACAGCUUCUGUUCUCUGCUUGCCGCUGGAUACUAUCAGGACUAGGCUAGUGGCACCUGGUGGAGAAGCAAUGGGUGGCGUUAUUGGAGCUUUUCGCCAUGUUAUCCAAAAUGAAGGGUUCCUUUCACUAUACCGGGGUUUACUGCCCUCCAUUUUAAGUAUGGCGCCUUCUGGUGCUGUUUUUUAUGGCAUAUAUGACAUGUUAAAAUCAGUUUACUUGCAUUCACCUGAAGGACAAAGAAGAAUUCAAUAUAUGAAACAGCAGAAUCAGGAAUUAAAUGCAUUAGAGCAGCUGGAAUUGGGACCAAUAAGAACUUUAUUGCAUGGUGCCAUUGCGGGUGCUUGUGCAGAAGCUGCUACAUACCCAUUUGAGGUGGUGAGGAGGCAGCUUCAACUGCAAGGCCGAGCAAAUAAGUUAAAUGCAUUUGGAAUUUGUGCCAGGAUAGUUCGGCAAGGUGGUGUUCCUGCUCUGUAUGCCGGUCUAUUUCCUAGCUUAUUACAGGUAUUACCUUCUGCAUCAAUAAGCUUCUUUGUUUAUGAGUUCAUGAAGAUUGUUCUUAGGGUGGAAUGAAUCACAAACCUACAUAACAAGAUACUCCCAGGAAAUUGUAAGAAUUUUAGUGUACUGAUGGUGACAAACGAGGACAUGCUGCUCACCACUAUAUAUUCUCUUCCGGCAAGAUGAAAGAAUCAUUGGAAUCAUUCUUGUUCCAAUCGCAGUGCUUAUGUUCAACAGGUUUCAUCGAAUUUUUGCUGUACCCUCCAGUUUCACCAAGAUAUGAUCAACCAGCAUAGACAAUCUUUCUGGUGCCCUGUUCUCCGCAAGCUGUGACGUUAAUCAUUGAUUUAGCAACAGGCUGGAUGUGACAGUAUCACUGAACAUGUGUGUAACCUCAUGACUCUGUUCAUCAGUAUGUUCUUCUCAAAUUGUUGAUUAGAUGGACUAAUGCUGAUGAGUUUGUAGGCCACUGAAAACAGUACUUUAACUGAUUAAACCAAGUGCCGUAGAGUAAGAAUAAAAGAAAGCUAGCAACACCUAUCACUCUCUGACUCUUUUUUUUUUGUGUGUGUGUGAUCCCACACCUCUGCUACAACUAUGUGUCUGUGUGAUCGCCAAAAUGAAUCUGCGUAUUCACCCCACACCUCUCAGCUACACAAAGAUUCUAAACCUUCAGUAGAUAUUAGUAAAGUAUUAACUCACUUUACAUCUACCACAAAAAACACUAUUUCCAGUAAAAACCAUUCUGCUUCAAUAAUAUUAAGUCAAACCUUAGUUGUCCACAUUAUGUGUCUUGAUAGUGGCAGAGACAUUGAUAAUUGUUUCUCGAUGAUUAUCCAUAUGCCUCUUCAUCAAUGCCAACAGCAAUCUCAACAGGAGAUACUAAAGGUGUUGAGAAUUAGAAGCAGUACUCUUUUCUUAAACUUUAACCUGUGCAUUGACCUAUUCUCUUUCAUGGUAGAGUUAUAUAUAAUACGGUUUCUGAAUAUUUUUUAUUUGCAGCAUGUGUUUGUCAGUAUAUUCCUUCUGAAUGUUCGAACUUUUUACUGUGAUUGUAGAAUGAUUAGCAAAAUGCAGGGCUAUGUGUGACAUUAACCACAUACUAACAAUUUGUAUGCUUUGUAGAAUCACCUCACGUGCAAAUUGUAAAUUGUGGGGCUGCUAUGGCAAGAAUGAGAGUCGAUGCCAAAUCGACUUCCUCUUCUAAAUCAGAUAUUACAAUUUGAUUAUUUUAUUUCCUGGUCUCCCUGACGUUGUCAGGCCAUUGAGAAC